GCAUGAAUGAUACAAUAUAGUUGGUUAAAAUGACUGUAAUCUGAAAUGUAGCAUAUCCUAAUAAUUUUCAUAACCAGAUUCAAAUUUGAACUCUAUCAUCUACACAUAACAGGCUUUACAACACCACUGAUCUAAUUCCAAUGGAGUUAAUUUUAAAUUAAAUUCCUCAAAAAACAGAAGUAUAUUUUAAGCAUCACACAGGAAACACCAUCUAAAAAUGAGCUACAUAAAAUAUUCUCAAUCAACAAUUGUUAAAAUGUAACAGGAGCCAGCAAACCUGCUAGUGAUUUUGUAGUCUACCCCAAAGGAAUAAGAUUGUUCCAUUUCAAGCAUUCAAAUAUUGUGAAAUGAAGAAGGGGAGAGAGAGGAUGAGUUACUAGUUCACUUGAUGGAUUGUUUAUCUUUUAAAAUUAGCGCGCUAUGGUCCUUACUUAUGGAUCUAGUUAUGGGACAGUGAACAGGAAAGUCCAGAUAAGGAUCCUUACCUGAAUUUCUCUUGGCUGUUUUUCUACCUUGUCUACCUAUGGUUGCUAUUUAGGGCUCAAGAAAAGAGAAUCCAACAAUCCCUAAGAAAUCUGAGAUGUCUGGAGAAUACUCCUUACCUUCAACACCGUAACAUGGUAAUAAAUACAACAUAGAAAUUUGGAUAACUGCUCCUAAAUGUUCUCCUAAUUCUCAGGAUUCAUAACUGACUUAGUUCAACUGACCAACAAACAACUACUUCAAUCAUAAUCAUAAGGUGUGACGAAAUUUU
rnacentral:misc_RNA from 1 species